ACAAAACAAGUGGUGAGUGCUUUGGGGUGGGGUGACUGCGUACCUUUUGUAUAAUGGGUCAGCGACUUAUAUUCUGUAGCAAGGUUAACCGUAUAGGGGAGCCGGAGGGAAACCGAGUCUUAACCGGGCGUUAAGUUGCAGGGUAUAGACCCGAAACCCGGUGAUCUAGCCAUGGGCAGGUUGAAGGUUGGGUAACACUAACUGGAGGACCGAACCGACUAAUGUUGAAAAAUUAGCGGAUGACCUGUGGCUGGGGGUGAAAGGCCAAUCAAACCGGGAGAUAGCUGGUUCUCCCCGAAAGCUAUUUAGGUAGCGCCUCGUGAAUUCAUCUCCGGGGGUAGAGCACUGUUUCGGCUAGGGGGCCAUCCCGGCUUACCAACCCGAUGCAAACUGCGAAUACCGGAGAAUGUUAUCACGGGAGACACACGGCGGGUGCUAACGUCCGUCGUGAAGAGGGAAACAACCCAGACCGCCAGCUAAGGUCCCAAAGUCAUGGUUAAGUGGGAAACGAUGUGGGAAGGCCCAGACAGCCAGGAUGUUGGCUUAGAAGCAGCCAUCAUUUAAAGAAAGCGUAAUAGCUCACUGGUCGAGUCGGCCUGCGCGGAAGAUGUAACGGGGCUAAACCAU
rnacentral:rRNA from 1 species